rnacentral:rRNA from 1 species
UGGGGAAUAUUGCACAAUGGGCGAAAGCCUGAUGCAGCAACGCCGCGUGAGUGAUGAAGGCCUUCAGGUUGUAAAGCUCUGUCUUUUGGGACGAUAAUGACGGUACCAAAGGAGGAAGCCACGGCUAACUACGUGCCAGCAGCCGCGGUAAUACGUAGGUGGCAAGCGUUGUCCGGAUUUACUGGGCGUAAAGGAUGCGUAGGCGGAUUUUUAAGUGAGAUGUGAAAACCCUAAGCUUAACUUGGGGACUGCAUUUCAUACUGGAAAUCUAGAGUGCGGGAGAGGAGAAUGGAAUUCCUAGUGUAGCGGUGAAAUGCGUAGAGAUUAGGAAGAACACCAGUGGCGAAGGCGAUUCUCUGGACCGUAACUGACGCUGAGGCAUGAAAGCGUGGGUAGCAAACAGGAUUAGAUACCCUGGUAGUCCACGCCGUAAACGAUGAGUACUAGGUGUAGGAGGUAUCGACCCCGUUCUGUGCCGCAGUUAACACAAUAAGUACUCCGCCUGGGAAGUACGAUCGCAAGAUUAAAACUCAAAUGAAUUGACGGGGGUCAUAGCUGUUUUCC